rnacentral:lncRNA from 1 species
UUUGAUUGUUCAGAAUUUGGAAUUCCCCAUUCCUUUCUAUUCUCAUUCAUCAGCCAUGUCUCUGGAAAAAUGAUAACGUCAUCUGGAGGAAUAUCUACACUUAGCUCUGCCAUUUCAGAGAAGUACAUCUUUGAAUUCCUGUUUCUUAUUCAUUUAACAUUUUAGAGGAUUAGGAACUUAAUAUUGCUACCACUUUAGCUUUAUCCUUCUUCAAAGGAGUUUAAAUGCACUUUUGUAUUAUUUCAUUAUAGGCUAUUUUAUUAUUGAAAUAAUUCCAGAUAGCUAAACUUUUGACAAAAAUGGGCAUAGAAAUACUACAUUUAUCUCUGUGUUAUUGAAUUCUUUUUGAGACAGGCUCUCACUCUGUCACCCAGGUUGGAGUGCAGUGAUGCAGUCUCGACUCACUGCAGCCUCCACCUCCCCAGGCUCAAGCAAUCCUUCCACCUCAACCUCCUAAGUAGCUGGGACCACAGCUACAUGCCUCCACCAAGCCUGGCUAAUUUUUAUAUUUUUUGUAGAGCUAGAGUUUCGCUAUGUUGACGUAGCUGGUCUCAAACUCCUGGUUUCAAGCAAUCCGCCCAAUUCAGCCUCCCAAAGUGUUGGCAUUACAGGCCUGAGCCAUUGUGUCCAGCCUUGAAUUCUUUUAUCACAUUUUUAUUUCUAAUUGUUAUCUUCCAUUUCUUGACUUCUGUGAUUUACUUUCUUUGUCUUUCAUCUAAUUUUUUCUAUUCUCUUUUUACUUUGCCUUUCUUUUCUCACACCCUUCCUUAGUCUUCGUAACAGUUCCACACAGUCAGUCCCUUUUCAUGUAUCCCCUGUUACCCUAUACAAAGGACUCAUUUUAAGGGCUUGUCCCAAUAUUUCCACAUUCUUUAGUCUCUGGGACUCCUUUCAUAUUCAUGACCUCUUUUCAUAAAACAUCUGGCUGCAUGACAUCAGUGGAAGAGCGCUAGGGGUAGGCAUCAAGAUGGUGGGUGCCACUGCCAGUAGUACUACUACCCCACCCAAGUGACACUGGGCAAGUCACUCUACCAGCAUGGGUCCCAUUCACCUCCACUAUAAAAAUGCAAGGGUCAGAUAUCAUGAUCUUAAAGGCGCUGCCUAACUCCAAUACUCUAGUGUUAUUUGUAGCUAUUCUUGUAUCUCUGCUUUCCAUAAAUAUCUGUGGUGUAUUUUGUCUCUUAAUCUAAGAAAAUACAUUGGUCCUUUGUAAUGAAUUAUAUUUAGAAAACCACAUGGCAUCCAUACUUCUACCCAGGUGAUUUCCUAUUUUUUAAGUCUAUUUUAUAUAACUCUGCAUCCUUUAGAAUCUAUUUUUCCCCCUCAUGCUGUUUCCAUCAUGUGACAACACCCACAUGAUUGUUUAUAUGUGUGAAUAUGUGGAUGUAGGCAUCUGUACAGAAGCAUUGAAUUCAACUGUGACCUCAAUGACUUCUAAAUGUAGUUUUUAUGCACCCUCCCCACCCCACUGCCACCCAUGAUUGCGUCUUUCUAAAUAUGACUCCUGACUUGGGAAGAAGGCAUUUUCUCUUUUCCUUUUCCUAAAACCAGUCAACAUUUUAACACUGUAGACUCUUAAAUGUGUGUUAUAUCCAGAACUACAGCCAAAGAAAAAGAAGCAGCCCAACAGAGAGCUCAGGAAAAUUACACUUCAUACAUCCAACUGCUAUGGAAGAGGAUGGAGGUGAGAAGCGGAGGGAGAAAGAAGGAUGUGAUAUUCCAUCCCCAUUAAGAAAAUUUUUCAAGCCCCCAAUCUGAACCUACUGAAUCAGAAUUUGAGGAGAUGAGACCUGUAUACCUAGAUUUUCAAAAGACUCUCAACUCUAUCCACUCUCAUCACUUCUAUUUAACAUUAUACUGGAGGUCCUGGCCAGGGAAGUAAGGCAAGUAAAAAAAAAUUC